rnacentral:misc_RNA from 1 species
AUUGGCCCUUUGUUUAUAUUUGAUUUUUAUCGGAGUUUACUCGGAAACGAUCUUGUUACGAUGAUGUAACGAUUAUAUAAUCAUUAUAAUUUCAGGGAAAUAAUAUAAAAAAAAAAUUUAAAAAAAUACUUUGAACUAAUUUUACUGACUACAGAAAAUUGAAAGUAUUCACAAAAUUCAAAGUAUUCAAAACUGAAAAUCUAAAGCGGACCGGAUCAAGCAAGCUUUCAAGCCCCUUCUUUGUUUUUUAUCCAAUGGCAGGGUGUUCAAAUGCAGGUUACCGUCUCAUAAACCGAACUAAUGCACUGUUGUUGCCAAACAGCUAUCGACAUGCAGCUCAUGUCAUGUUGCAUAGUCCUUGCCAAGAUGGUAGAAAACUGUUUGGCCACUAUCAUCCUCGUCAUGCUGUCCUACUACAAUUAAGAUUUGAUGGAACUAUUGGUUUUCCGGGUGGCUUUAUAGAAGCUGAAGAAUCAAUAGAAACUGGUUUACGACGAGAAAUAGUUGAAGAAUUAGGCGCAGCCGCUGGGGCAAUAGAUUUAACGGAAAAAGAUCAUGUAGUUUCACAUAUAUGUCCUAACAAACCUGUUUGUUUGCACUUUUACUGCAAGAAAAUUGAGCUAGGUUAUUUACAGAAUAUUGAGAAAGAAGUUCAUGACUCACCACAGUAUGGACUAGAGACCCUUGGCGUUAUUCGAUGUCCUCUAUACACGAUGAAUGAUGAACGAGGAGGUUUGCCAUCAUUUUUGAGAAAUAAUUUCAUUGGCAAUGCCAGAGAACAGCUGCUUCAUGGUCUGAAUCACGAAGGACUUAUGUCGGAAGAGGAAAUCAAUAUCGCAGUAAAACUAAGUAGUAAAUUGGAAGGAUUUGAGUAAACGCAACCCAAGGCUCCGUUUUCAUUAUUUCAACAAUCUUUAAUAUCAGGAGAAGCAAAGAGAGAUGCUUUUUCUGCAUCUAGAAAAAGACUUCGGAGAUAAAUGGCCAGGCUUAUCGCCACAAUUAUAUUGAUGUAAACAGAAACGGUCAUAACCCAAUAUCUCUUUCAGGUGAUACAAAAAGUAAAAUCAUCGCCCAUGUGCCGCGCUACGACUUUUUUCCUUUAAUACAAGGUGUUAGGCACUGGUGCUUGCCUGUCAUUUGUUUGUGCGCCUCUUUUAAAAAAGACACUUUCACAUAAAUUUGAGCACGAAAUAAUGG